ACGCUCGACACCUAAGGCAGCAGUGGGGAAUAUUGCACAAUGGGGGAAACCCUGAUGCAGCGACGCCGCGUGAGCGAAGAAGUAUUUCGGUAUGUAAAGCUCUAUCAGCAGGGAAGAAAGUGACGGUACCUGACUAAGAAGCACCGGCUAAAUACGUGCCAGCAGCCGACGGUAAUCUGAGGCGGCGUGGCGAAGGC
rnacentral:rRNA from 1 species